rnacentral:rRNA from 1 species
UAAAGAUUAAGCCAUGCAUGUAUCAGUACAAGCCACACUAAGGUGAAACCGCGAAUGGCUCAUUAAAUCAGUUAUUAUUUACUGGCCGAGACAGUGAUACAUGGAUAACUGUGGUAAUUCUAGAGCUAAUACAUGCAACCGAGCCCCAGUGCCGGCUCUCGGGUCGGCCGGGGCGCUUUUAUUGGCUGAAAACCGAUGAUCGCCCUCGUGGCGGUCGUUCUCCGAUGAAUCACAAUAACAUUGUGUGGAUCGUACGGUCUUGUACCGACGACGCGCCUUUCAAAUAUCUGCCUUAUCAGCUCUCGACGGUUUGCUAGUGGCUGACCGUGGCUCUGACGGGUAACGGGGAAUCUGGGUUCGGUUCCGGAGAGGGAGCCUGAGAGAUGGCUACCACAUCU